rnacentral:rRNA from 1 species
CUUACUAAAGAUAACCUUAUUAAGAGAAAUUGGCAUGGAAGUACGCAAUGUGUAUUUUGUCCGCAUGAUGAGACAAUAAAACAUUUGUUCUUCCAAUGUAAAUUGGCUCGUUCUAUAUGGUCAGUCAUCCAAAUAGCUUCUGGCUUGUACCCUCCUUGUAGUGUUGCUAAUAUAUUUGGCAAUUGGUUACAUGGGAUUGAUCACAAGUUCAGAAGUCUACUUAGGGUGGGAGCGCUUGCCGUGAUUUGGUCGCUUUGGCUAUGUAGAAAUGAUAAGAUUUUUAACGAUAAAAGUACUUCGCUUAUGCAGGUUAUCUACAGAUGUACUGGGACGCUUCGUUUAUGGUCCUCUCUACAACGAGUGGAGAAUCGAGACCUGUUUACGGAGGUGUGUACACGAUUGGAGGUUACGGCGAGGGAUACUUUUAUCCAACAUGGGUGGCAGCAUGAUCUUAGGAUUGGGCCACCGACGGUUUAG